rnacentral:rRNA from 1 species
UACGAAGGGGGCUAGCGUUGUUCGGAAUCACUGGGCGUAAAGCGCACGUAGGCGGAUCUUUAAGUCAGGGGUGAAAUCCCGAGGCUCAACCUCGGAACUGCCUUUGAUACUGGGAUCUCGAGUCCGGGAGAGGUGAGUGGAACUGCGAGUGUAGAGGUGAAAUUCGUAGAUAUUCGCAAGAACACCAGUGGCGAAGGCGGCUCACUGGCCCGGAACUGACGCUGAGGUGCGAAAGCGUGGGGAGCAAACAGGG